UGCCUCCCUUUGUAUUCCCGUGCAGUCAGUGUGGCAGGGCUGUGUCCUUCCUGGAAGUGCUUUGGGAUACCCUGAGCAGAGAGCAGCUGCUGUGACCCCACUGGUGCACCCUGACCAUCAGACCCCUCAGACCUGAGGUUCAGCCUUAUUUCCCUGAAGAAAUGAUGUUUUGGAGAGAAUGUGCUGUAUAUCCUGCUGCUAAUCCUGGGGUGGAAAUCAGCUCCUCCUAACACCUGCUGCCAGGACCUGACACAACUGAUUCCUGCUGCAGCAUUUGCAGCCUCCUGGGCUGGAUUUUGGAUCUGGGCAUAUCCCAGCUGGCCUGUGAAAUACAGCAGCUUCUGGAGUCAGAUGAGGAGCAGGUGCCUGUGGAGCUGGGAGCCCCAGGCCCUCAGGCUACAGCUCGGGGCUUUUU
rnacentral:lncRNA from 1 species